rnacentral:rRNA from 1 species
UUACGGGAGGCAGCAGUAAGGAAUAUUGGACAAUGCCCGCAAGGGUGAUCCAGCCAUGCCGCGUGCAGGAAGACGGCCCUAUGGGUUGUAAACUGCUUUUACACCGGAGAAAACCUCCCCUCGUGAGGGGAGCUGAUAGUAUGGUGAGAAUAAGCAUCGGCUAACUUCGUGCCAGCAGCCGCGGUAAGACGAAGGAUGCAAGCGUUAUCCGGAUUCAUUGGGUUUAAAGGGAGCGUAGGUGGCCUUAUAAGUCAGUGGUGAAAUCUCUGGGCUUAACCCAGAAAUUGCCAUUGAUACUGUAGGGCUUGAGUACAGUUGCUGUGGGCGGAAUAUGACAUGUAGUGGUGAAAUACAUAGAGAUGUCAUAGAACACCGAUUGCGAAGGCAGCUCACAAAACUGUAACUGACACUGAGGCUCGAAAGUGCGGGGAUCAAACAGGAUUAGAUACCCCGGUAGU